GCGACCCCAGGUCAGGUGGA
rnacentral:rRNA from 1 species